rnacentral:rRNA from 2 species
UGUCCGCCAGAGAAUUACACGUGAAAAACUUAAAACUCAAAGGACUUGACGGUGACCCAUACCCCCCUAGAGGAGCCUGUCCUUUAAUCGAUACCCCACGAUACACCUCACCACCCCUUAUAAUUAUUAGCCUAUAUACCGCCGUCGCCAGCCUGCCUAAUGAUAGACACACAGCAGGUAAAAUAGUAACCCACUAACACGUCAGGUCAAGGUGUAGCUAAUGGGGCGGAAAGAGAUGGGCUACAUUUUCUAAAAUACAAGACAGUGCCGUAGGCCACAUGAAACCUAGGCCGAAAGUCGGAUUUAGCAGUAAGUAAAGACAAGACAUGUCCAACUGAAACCUGCCCCGGGUUGCGUACACACC